AACUAACGCUGGCGGCGUGCCUAACACAUGCAAGUCGUACGAGAAAGUUGGCUUCGGCCGAUGAGUAAAGUGGCGCACGGGUGAGUAAUGCGUGGAUAAUCUGCCCUUUAGUUGGGAAUAACGUACCGAAAGGUGCGCUAAUACCUGAUAAUACUGCAUAACUACUGUUGUGUAGUCAAAGAAGGCCUCUGUUUACAAGCUUUUGUCUGAAGGAUGAGUCCGCGUACCAUUAGCUGGUUGGUGGGGUAAGUGGCCUACCAAGGCUACGAUGGUUAGCUGGUCUGAGAGGAUGAUCAGCCACACUGGAACUGAGACACGGUCCAGACUCCUACGGGAGGCAGCAGUGAGGAAUAUUGCGCAAUGGGGGCAACCCUGACGCAGCAACGCCGCGUGAGUGAGGAAGGUUUUCGGACCGUAAAGCUCUGUCGAGCGGGAAGAAAUGUAUCAUGGCUAAUAUCCAUGAUACUUGACGGUACCGCUAAAGG
rnacentral:rRNA from 1 species